UGACAAAGUCCUGAUCUCUGGCACAAAGAGGGAAAAUGCAAGCAAUUGUCAGCAAAAGCAAUUCAACUGUUUUCAUGCAAACUGUUUUCAGGGCUCCAUCUCACUGGAUGUCAUCCUGCAACCCGUGUGGCCCUGCCUGGUGAAAGCACAGCAUGGUCAGGAAGAAGGACCUACGUGGGAGCUGUCAGCCUCGCUGCUGUCCAGCAAAGUUCCAGCCAGAAGCCAAAAGCAGAGAGAUGUUACAUCUUGUUUAAUACUUGUCAUCCAUUAAAGAGCAC
ensembl:lncRNA